rnacentral:tRNA from 1 species
GGUCGUAUGGCUAGUGUCCAAGCUUUUAGUUGCAUCGUGCUAAGGAGUGCGGGUUCGAUUCCCGCUGCGGCUA